rnacentral:rRNA from 1 species
UACGUAGGUGGCAAGCGUUGUCCGGAUUUACUGGGCGUAAAGAGCGCGUAGGCGGCCAGAUAAGUCCGGUGUGAAAGUCACAGGCUCAACCUGUGAAUGCCGCUGGAAACUGUCUGGCUAGAGUCCGGAAGGGGCGAGUGGAAUUCCUGGUGUAGCGGUGAAAUGCGCAGAUAUCAGGAGGAACACCAAUGGCGAAGGCAGCUCGCUGGGACGGUACUGACGCUGAGGCGCGAAAGCGUGGGGAGCGAACAGG